CUCAGCUGUAGCGAGUGGCUUUGGAAAGCAGGGACAUGUGGGGCAGUCAAGAGUGCAGGGGAGCACUAAUAACCUUAGUUAAUUACCAGGACUUUUCAGUGCCCACCGUUGAGAUAAAGGGGUCCAUACGAUCCAUGCAACAUAUGACUGCAACCGGCUGGUGGAAGGCUGUAGCAUCCCGUUGGCUUUCACAGACUUUGCACCAGCUUCCUGCUCUGGAUGGUGACUUCAAAGCCGGCGUCAGCACUCACUCCAGCAGCCAGGGCAGCCAUAGCCUGCACACAGGGGAGGGCACUGGGACCAUCCAUCCUGCAGUUGAAGGCCGACGUCUGGGGAUGCAUGACAAACUCUUGUACUGAAUGGAUGUUCCACUGAUGCUAUAGGAGAUCAUCCUCAGCACAGUGCCUGUUACCAUAUCUCCUAGGUUUUGAACACUCCAAGCUGGUCUGGAUAUGGUUUGAACGUGCAGAAAACCUCAGGGUUCGUACAACACACUUGGCCAGGACACUGGGCAGUGUCAGCCUCAUCCCAGGACACUGCUGCAAGCUUCCCAGCCUUGUGCAGAAUGUCUGAAGAUUCUUUCAAAUUUGUACAUGCUGACGUAAACAGAGCCCCUUGCUGCGGAAAUAAAACUGCAGGGAAUUUCUGGCAGUGUUUGGAAUGAUACAUAGUUUUGUGGUGACCUCUCCAUAGCAAGCACAAAGUUCUGUAUCUGCUUGGCACCAAGCAAAAUGUUUGGCAUGACUUGAAACGCCCUGAGAACCAUAGUCACCUCUUAAGGUCCUUGUCCCAACUGAUCCCUGCAGAAG
rnacentral:lncRNA from 1 species